rnacentral:tRNA from 1 species
GCCUAGUUAGCUUAGUUGGUAGUGCGUCUGCCCGGUAAGCGCUAGGCCGCGGGUUCGAUUCCCGCCCGGGGCG